rnacentral:rRNA from 1 species
UACGGAGGGGGCGAGCGUUCUUCGGAAUUAUUGGGCGUAAAGGGCGCGUAGGCGGCGCGAUAAGUCAAAGGUGAAAUCCCUCGGCUCAACUGAGGAACUGCCUUUGAAACUGUCGUGCUUGAGGCCGGGAGGGGGUAGCGGAAUUCCCAGUGUAGCGGUGAAAUGCGUAGAUAUUGGGAGGAACACCAGUGGCGAAGGCGGCUACCUGGACCGGUUCUGACGCUGAUGCGCGAAAGCGUGGGUAGCAAACAGG